rnacentral:rRNA from 1 species
UACAGAGGUCCCAAGCGUUGUUCGGAUUCACUGGGCGUAAAGGGUGCGUAGGCGGUCGGGUAAGUCUGAUGUGAAAUCCCUCGGCUUAACCGGGGAACUGCGUCUGAUACUGGAUGGCUUGAGUUCGGGAGAGGGAUGCGGAAUUCCAGGUGUAGCGGUGAAAUGCGUAGAUAUCUGGAGGAACACCGGUGGCGAAGGCGGCAUCCUGGACCGACACUGACGCUGAGGAGCGAAAGCCAGGGGAGCAAACGGG